AUGCAGUCGUACGAGAGUUUUUAACUCAAGUGGCGGACGGGUGAGUAACACGUAAGAAUUUGCCUUUAGGAGGGGGAUAACAACUGGAAACGGUUGCUAAUACCCCAUAUGCUUUCGAGUGAAAUGGUUUUUCCGCCUAGAGAGAAGCUUGCGGCUGAUUAGCUUGUUGGGGAGGUAAUGGCUCACCAAGGCGACGAUCAGUAUCUGGUUUGAGAGGACGAUCAGACACACUGGAACUGAGACACGGUCCAGACUCCUACGGGAGGCAGCAGUGGGGAAUUUUCCGCAAUGGGCGAAAGCCUGACGGAGCAAUACCGCGUGAGGGAUGACGGCCUAUGGGUUGUAAACCUCUUUUUUCAGGGAGGAAUAAAUGACGUGUACCUGAGGAAUAAGCAUCGGCUAACUCCGUG
rnacentral:rRNA from 1 species